AGCAGCCGCGGUAAUUCCAGCUCCAAUAGCGUAUAUUAAAGUUGUUGCAGUUAAAAAGCUCGUAGUUGAAUUUCGGGGUUAGUAGGUUGGUCAUGCCUCUGGUAUGUACUGGUCUCACUGAUUCCUCCUUCCUGAUGAGCCGUAAUGCCAUUAAUUUGGUGUUGCGGGGAAUUUGGACUGUUACUUUGAAAAAAUUGAGUGUUUAAAGCAAGCUAACGCUUGAAUACAUUAGCAUGGGAUAAUGAAAUAGGACGUUUGAUUCUAUUUUGUUGGUUUCUAGGAUCGACGUAAUGAUUAAUAGGGAUAGUUGGGGGCAUUAGUAUUCAAUUGUCAGAGGUGAAAUUCUUGGAUUUAUUGAAGACUAACUACUGCGAAAGCAUUUGCCAAGGAUGUUUUCAUUAAUCAAGAACGAAAGUUAGGGGAUCGAAGACGAUCAGAUACCGUCGUAGUCUUAACCAUAAACUAUGCCGACUAGGGAUCGGAUGAUGUUAAUUUUUUAAUGACUCAUUCGGCGCCUUAA
rnacentral:rRNA from 1 species